GCUGACGAGUGGCGGACGGGUGAGUAAUGUCUGGGAAACUGCCUGAUGGAGGGGGAUAACUACUGGAAACGGUGGCUAAUACCGCAUAACGUCGCAAGACCAAAGAGGGGGACCUUCGGGCCUCUUGCCAUCAGAUGUGCCCAGAUGGGAUUAGCUAGUUGGUGAGGUAACGGCUCACCAAGGCGACGAUCCCUAGCUGGUCUGAGAGGAUGACCAGCCACACUGGAACUGAGACACGGUCCAGACUCCUACGGGAGGCAGCAGUGGGGAAUAUUGCACAAUGGGCGCAAGCCUGAUGCAGCCAUGCCGCGUGUAUGAAGAAGGCCUUCGGGUUGUAAAGUACUUUCAGCGGGGAGGAAGGUGUUGUGGUUAAUAACC
rnacentral:rRNA from 1 species